UUUGGCAUCGUGAUCAAUGUACUCUUGCUGA
rnacentral:piRNA from 1 species